rnacentral:rRNA from 1 species
UACAGAGGCCUCGAGCGUUAGGCGGAAUCACUGGGCUUAAAGCGUGUGUAGGCGGACUUCUAAGUCCCUUGUGAAAUCCCACGGCUCACCCGUGGAACUGCUUGGUAUACUGGUUGUCUUGAGCCUUCUAGGGGCGAGUGGAACAAAUGGUGGAGCGGUGAAAUGCGUAGAUAUCAUUUGGAACGCCAAUGGUGAAAACAACUCGCUGGGGAAGUGCUGACGCUGAGACACGAAAGCCAGGGGAGCGAACGGG